UUGAUCGCAGUGCCUUCACGAAUGAGACGAUGAAAAGGUUAAAUCCUAAUGCUGUUCCAAAUUUGUUGUUCCCACCAUUAUUAGCGGAAUUGACACAAAUGGAAGAUUCAGCGAGAACUUCAGUGUCUUCGCAAUCUUUUACACAAUAUCUGCCUAACUCGCCUCUAAAAGGUCAAACACUGCAAUUGGACAUUACUUUUGUGACUCAACCUGUCAAUU